rnacentral:rRNA from 1 species
GACGAACGCUGGCGGCGUGCUUAACACAUGCAAGUCGAGCGGUAAGGCCCUUUCGGGGGUACACGAGCGGCGAACGGGUGAGUAACACGUGGGUGACCUGCCCUCAGCUCUGGGAUAAGCCUGGGAAACCGGGUCUAAUACUGGAUAUGACUCCAUGACGCAUGUUGUGGGGUGGAAAGCCUUGUGCGGCUGAGGAUGGGCCCGCGGCCUAUCAGCUUGUUGGUGGGGUGANGGCCUACCAAGGCGACGACGGGUAGCCGGCCUGAGAGGGCGACCGGCCACACUGGGACUGAGACACGGCCCAGACUCCUACGGGAGGCAGCAGUGGGGAAUCUUGCGCAAUGGGCGAAAAGCCUGACGCAGCGACGCCGCGUGAGGGAUGACGGCCU